AGAACUUAGCAGAGAUGCUUUGGUGCCUUUCGGGAACUCUGAGACAGGUGCUGCAUGGCUGUCGUCAGCUCGUGUUGUGAAAUGUUGGGUUAAGUCCCGCAACGAGCGCAACCCUUAUCCUUUGUUGCCAGCGGUUAGGCCGGGAACUCAAAGGAGACUGCCAGUGAUAAACUGGAGGAAGGUGGGAUGACGUCAAGUCAUCAUGGCCCUUACGAGUAGGCUACACACGUGCUACAAUGGCGCAUACAAAGAGAAGCGACCUCGCGAGAGCAAGCGGACCUCAUAAAGUGCGUCGUAGUCCGGAUUGGAGUCUGCAACUCGACUCCAUGAAGUCGGAAUCGCUAGUAAUCGUGGAUCAGAAUGCCACGGUGAAUACGUUCCCGGGCCUUGUACACACCGCCCGUCACACCAUGGGAGUGGGUUGCAAAAGAAGUAGGUAGCUUAACCUUCGGGAGGGCGCUUACCACUUUGUGAUUCAUGACUGGGGUGAAGUCGUAACAAGGUAAGCGUAGUGCU
rnacentral:rRNA from 1 species